GAUGAACGCUGGCGGCGUGCCUAAUACAUGCAAGUAGAACGCUGAAGGAGGAGCUUGCUCUUCUGGAUGAGUUGCGAACGGGUGAGUAACGCGUAGGUAACCUGCCUGGUAGCGGGGGAUAACUAUUGGAAACGAUAGCUAAUACCGCAUGACAACAGUUAUUGCAUGAUAACUGUUUAAAAGGGGCAACUGCUCCCCUACCAGAUGGACCUGCGUUGUAUUAGCUAGUUGGUGAGGUAACGGCUCACCAAGGCGACGAUACAUAGCCGACCUGAGAGAGUGAUCGGCCACACUGGGACUGGGACACGGCCCAGACUCCUACGGGAGGCAGCAGUAGGGAAACUUCGGCAAUGGACGGAAGUCUGACCGAGCAACGCCGCGUGAGUGAAGAAGGGUUUCGGAUCGUAAAGCUCUGUUGUAAGAGAAGAACGAGUGGGAAAGUGGAAAGUUCACACUGUGACGGUAUCUUACCAGAAAGGGACGGCUAACUACGUG
rnacentral:rRNA from 1 species